GAUGAACGCUGGCGGCGUGCCUAAUACAUGCAAGUCGAGCGAACAGACGAGGAGCUUGCUCCUCUGACGUUAGCGGCGGACGGGUGAGUAACACGUGGAUAACCUACCUAUAAGACUGGGAUAACUUCGGGAAACCGGAGCUAAUACCGGAUAAUAUAUUGAACCGCAUGGUUCAAUAGUGAAAGACGGUUUUGCUGUCACUUAUAGAUGGAUCCGCACCGCAUUAGCUAGUUGGUAAGGUAACGGCUUACCAAGGCGACGAUGCGUAGCCGACCUGAGAGGGUGAUCGGCCACACUGGAACUGAGACACGGUCCAGACUCCUACGGGAGGCAGCAGUAGGGAAUCUUCCGCAAUGGGCGAAAGCCUGACGGAGCAACGCCGCGUGAGUGAUGAAGGUCUUCGGAUCGUAAAACUCUGUUAUUAGGGAAGAACAAAUGUGUAAGUAACUAUGCACGUCUUGACGGUACCUAAUCAGAAAGCCACGGCUAACUACGU
rnacentral:rRNA from 1 species